rnacentral:rRNA from 1 species
CGAGUCCGAGUCUCCACGGAGACGAAGUGGCGGUCAUCCAGCUUCCUAGAAAAGCUCUAACCACGUUAAUCUUUAGUUGCCUGUACCCGAAACCGACACAGGUAGGGGGGUAGAGAAUACCAAGGGGCGCGAGAUAACUCUCUCUAAGGAACUCGGCAAAAUGACCCCGUAACUUCGGGAGAAGGGGUACCACUGAGAAGUGGUCGCAGUGAAGAGGCCCAGGCGACUGUUUACCAAAAACACAGGUCUCCGCCAAGUCGCAAGACGAAGUAUGGGGGCUGACGCCUGCCCAGUGCCGGAAGGUUAAGGAAGUGGGUUAGGGAUUCGUCCCGAAGCUGACGACUGAAGCCCCGGUGAACGGCGGCCGUAACUAUAACGGUCCUAAGGUAGCGAAAUUCCUUGUCGGGUAAGUUCCGACCCGCACGAAAGGCGUAACGAUCUGGGCGCUGUCUCGGAGAGAGGCUCGGCGAAAUAGGAAUGUCUGUGAAGAUACGGACUACCUGCACCUGGACAGAAAGACCCUAUGAAGCUUUACUGUAGCUUGGAAUUGGGUUCGGGCUUGGUUUGCGCAGGAUAGGUGGGAGGCGAAGAAGAUUUGCUUGUGGGUGAAUCUGAGCCAACGGUGAGAUACCACUCUAACCAGGCUAGAAUUCUAACUUCAACCCGUCAACCGGGGGAAGGACAGUUUCAGGUGGGCAGUUUGACUGGGGCGGUCGCCUCCUAAAAGAUAACGGAGGCGCACAAAGGUUCCCUCAGGCUGGUUGGAAAUCAGCCAACGAGUGCAAAGGCAGAAGGGAGCUUGACUGCGAGACCUACAAGUCAAGCAGGGUGGAAACACGGUCUUAGUGAUCCGACGGCACCGAGUGGAAGGGCCGUCGCUCAACGGAUAAAAGUUACUCUAGGAUAACAGGCUGAUCUCCCCCAAGAGUUCACAUCGACGGGGAGGUUUGGCACCUCGAUGUCGGCUCAUCGCAACCUGGGGCGGAAGUACGUCCCAAGGGUUGGGCUGUUCGCCCAUUAAAGCGGUACGUGAGCUGGGUUCAGAACGUCGUGAGACAGUUCGGUCCAUAUCCGGUGUAGGCGCAAGAACAUUGAGAGGAGUCUUCCUUAGUACGAGAGGACCGGGAAGAACGCACCGCUGGUGUACCUGUUAUCGUGCCAACGGUAAUCGCAGGGUAGCCAAGUGCGGAGUGGAUAACCGCUGAAAGCAUCUAAGUGGGAAGCCCACCUCAAGAUGAGUGUUCUCAUGGAGUAAUCCAGUAAGGUCACGGGAAGACGACCCGUUGAUAGGCGGUAGGUGGAAGUUCAGCAAUGGAUGAAGCCGAGCCGUACUAACAGACCGAGGGCUUGACC